rnacentral:rRNA from 1 species
UACAGAGGGUGCAAGCGUUGCUCGGAAUCAUUGGGCGUAAAGGGCAAGUAGGUGGUCUCAUUUGUCUAGGGUGAAAUCCUUGAGCUUAACUCAAGAAGUGCCCUAGAAACGGUGAGACUCGAGUACUGGAGAGGGUCGUGGAAUUCCCGGUGUAGCGGUGAAAUGCGUAGAGAUCGGGAGGAACACCAGAGGCGAAGGCGGCGACCUGGACAGUUACUGACACUCAACUGCGAAAGCGUGGGGAGCGAACAGG